rnacentral:lncRNA from 1 species
UAAAUUUUGCUAAGUAUGUAAGUUGUUAUAUUAUAUUCGAUUGGUCGGGGAAUAUUCGUUUUAACAAAAAAUAUUCAUACGACGACACAAUCAUUGGUGGACCCCAUAACGGAAUUAUUGUCGGAAUAAGAAAACGACAGAAAUAUCUUUUUAUGAAAAUAACGGCGGAAGUUUUACCGUUAACUGUUGAAAUACCCGG